rnacentral:rRNA from 1 species
CCUACGGGCGGCUGCAGUGGGGAAUAUUGCACAAUGGGGGGAACCCUGAUGCAGCGACGCCGCGUGGGUGAAGAAGCGCCUCGGCGCGUAAAGCCCUGUCAGCAGGGAAGAAAAUGACGGUACCUGAAGAAGAAGCCCCGGCUAACUACGUGCCAGCAGCCGCGGUAAUACGUAGGGGGCAAGCGUUAUCCGGAUUUACUGGGUGUAAAGGGGGCGCAGACGGCGAUGCAAGCCAGGAGUGAAAGCCCGGGGCCCAACCCCGGGACUGCUCUUGGAACUGCGUGGCUAGAGUGCAGGAGGGGCAGGCGGAAUUCCUGGUGUAGCGGUGAAAUGCGUAGAUAUCAGGAGGAACACCGGUGGCGGAGGCGGCCUGCUGGACUGCAACUGACGUUGAGGCCCGAAAGCAUGGGGAGCAAACAGGAUUAGAUACCCCAGUAGUC